UGAGCCAUCUCUCCAGCCCUGAGUUGGUCUGCUGUAGAAGUAGAUUCCAACAGAUGUGCUGGCAGGUAAGUGCAAUCAGUCCAAGAAGUGUGAAUCUUCCUUCUUCCAGUGUUCUUAGGUAGGCCUCCAGCAGAAGGUGGGGCCCAGAUUAAGGUGUGUACCAACAUGCCUGGACCUGGGACUUGCUUUGUCCCCAGCUGACCUUGAACUCAGAUGUCUCCUUGCCUCAGUCUCCUGGGAGUAAAGGAGUGUACUACUUUAUCUGGGCCUAAACUUUUCUUCGUGGCAACUAUACCUCAAGGUCUUCAUGUCAGGAUCCAGAUCUGAAACGUGUGUCUUCCAGCCUCGAGAUCUGCAUCACAAGUGCAUCUUCCAAUUCUGGGUUGUGAUUCAUUCCAGAUAUAGUUAAAUUGAGAACCAGGAAUGGCCACCACAGUGCUAGAUAUGGGUAAUUUUCCUUUCCUAAGAGGGCCUGGCUGUUAUGCAUGUGAAAUGAAUUUAUAAUAACAAGAAGAAAAUAGGUUCAGACUAAAGUUAUUUUUAAAUAAGAGCUGUAUUUGGUGCAGAAGAAUAAACACAGGCUUCGGAGCUUGAGGUCACUUCAAUCAGAAAGUGCUUCUGAAAUCCAGCUAGGAGUAAGCAGAGGAACAAGAAACUUCCCUGUGUAGUUCUGAAUAUUAAAACUAAAUUGUUUUGCAGGAAGAGUGCACUAGUCUUAACUAUGCAGGUGCCACUGUCUUGAAGACAUUUGCCUGGUGGCAUAGUCCCUGUUCCCCCUUGGGCAACUCUGACUCCUGCCAAUCCUAUGCUGGUUCUUUAAAUAUUGCUCAGACCUUCUUGCCUCUGCUUUGUACCUGUUUUUGUGUCAGACCUUUAAACAUUUUGGACUUGAGUUUGAGUGCAUUUCUUAACUUAGGUGACUGUGUUUGUCAUCUCUGUGUUUUAAACCCACCCUGACUUGGCCACUAUGGUUCUUAGUUGUUCUGUCAACCGUUUGAUUAACAUAUCCGUUUCUACAUUUUGGUUUCCACUUACUUGUUUUCUCAUCCUCCCCACACUGGCACUUAUUCAACAUAGUGCUACCCAAGGCAUUUGUACUAAUAAACACCUUCAUUUUCCCAUCAUCCUCUGCUCCAUUUGUGUUCAUAGACAUCAGGUUUACAGAGACAGGCCGAUUUCCGAGGAGAUUCCCACCACAUCAAAGUAACAGACUAAGUGUGGCCCAUGUGCUGCAAGGAUUGUAAUGGGUGCAUAAAGGAGAGCAGCCUUCACUGUUGGGGAGCAGAGGUGACCUAGUGGGAUAUGUGACCAUAGUUGUUAUAGAAAGUGAUUCUUUUGUUUGUAGAAGGAGAUACAGCAAAGGCAAAAGGACAUUGGAAAUAGGAUACAUAACCAGAGGAGCCUGAGUAUUGUCUCAUCAGGGAAGUACACCAGGCAGGUUUAGCUAGAGGAGGAGCUGUGAAAUAACAGAGAAUGUUUGGGAAUGGUGGUCAGGCAACCAUAUCAAGGAAGGCCUUGUGGCCAUGCAUUCUACUGAGUUCAGAUUCUCUUCUUUGGAGACAGGCCUCUGGAAGACUGUGAACAAGACCACGAUGUGACUAGAGUGGAAGUGAAGAAAAAGCCACUCUCCUUGGAAUAUGGAGAAUAGAUUGAAGAACAGCUGUCUUCAAGACAAGAGGACAACGAUGCUGGCAAAAUGUGGGAAAUGUGGAAGCCCCUCAUAUAUUGUCAAUAUAGCUGCUGCAGAUAUCAGCAUGGACACUUUUGUAAGACUAAAAGUGAAACCACUAUAUGGCCCAACUGUACUCCAGGCAACACCAGCAGGACUGAAAGGCAAUAUACCACAGAGAAAUUUACAUAACCAUGCUUUCUGCUGCGCUAGUCACAAUUGCUAAAAAAUAGAGCUCUCCUAGAUGUCCAUCAAGAAAUCAAUGGACGGGAGCUGGAGAGAUGGCUCUGUUUAAGAGCACUGGAUGCUCUUCCAGAGAGCCUAGGUUAAAAUCUGGAAUUGAAGUUCCAGGGCAUCUGGACUCCACAUGCUCAAGGCAUACAUGUGUUCCUUGAACAUACGUGCAGGCAAAACAUAUAUACAUAUGAAAUAAACAAAGAGUAAAUAAAAAA
rnacentral:sRNA from 1 species